CUGAGCUUCUCAGUCCAUUGCCAAUGGCAGGACUUGAGAACUGCCCUGAGUUGGAGGAGAUUCGAAUAAAGGUAGAAGGAGAUUGCAGGGGGCGCCCCAAACCACGCGAACGUGCCUUUGGAUUGAGCUACCUUGCACGCUACCCUAGGCUGUCAAAGAUGCGAUUAGAUUGUGGUGAAACCAUAGGUUAUGCACUCACAGCACCGUCAGGCGAAAUGGAUUUAAGCUUGUGGGAAAGGUUUUACCUCAACGGCAUUGGGAAUUUGAGGCUAAAUGAACUAGAUUAUUGGCCUCCACAAGACAGGGACGUGAACCAGAGGAGUCUAUCGCUGCCU
rnacentral:lncRNA from 1 species